GCGCAGAACGCGGCGGUCAGCUGCGCCUGGCCUGAAGUUGCCCCAACAUCGCGGGCCGCGUCCGCCGCCGUUUUGACUUGUAGCAGGGCAGGCGGAGCGACUUAGAGGAAAAGUGACUUUUUGUACCCUCCUGCAGGGAGCAGGUUCUCUGUCCUUGUUUAAUUAGACAUUUCUCAGGUGGACACUUUGAAUUCCUUCCAGUCAAGACUCAGGUGUUCAACUUGUUUUGUCGGCCGUCUUCCUCCACCCUCCUUCUCCCAUUCAAAACAAAAAGAAUCCUACCUCUGCUCUGAAGCCUUUCUGUUCGCUCCAGUGAAAAUUAGUCAUCCACUGGGCACGGUGGCUCACGCCUGCAAUCCCAGCACUUUGGGAGGCCGAGGUCUGGGCUUGAUGUUCACCGAUUUUCCCUCAGCUCCGACCGUGGCUCCUCUCAGCUGACUCUGACCCUGCUCUCAGCCAGGCUGCAUCUGCCCAUCUCAGCACAUCAAUAAACAGCAGAGGGAAACUAACUACCACCUUGGAGGGAGCCAGGCAGUUUCUGCUGGGCAGGCCGCAGCCCGGAGCAUGGAAGUAGCUUCUUCCAUCCUACACUGGAAACCACCCAGCACCCCGGGCCCUCCAGAGAGGAGCCAGACUCCCUUCCCUGGGAAGAGACUACAGUCCUAUCUGUAUCCUCCAUGGUCAUUUUCCCUCAGUCACAGCAAUGAAGAGCAAAUUACCUGUUUUCUGUAUGUUCCUCUGACAACAACUGCCACAGAGUAAAUAUGAAAGGUUCUGGAUGAUUCGUUGUCAGCUUUUAUUAAAAUUCCACAUACUUGGCA
rnacentral:lncRNA from 1 species